UACAGAGGGUGCGAGCGUUGUUCGGAAUUAUUGGGCGUAAAGGGCGCGUAGGCGGUGCGGUAAGUCACCUGUGAAAUCUCCUGGCUCAACUGGGAGCUUGCAGGCGAAACUGCCGUGCUGGAGUGUGGGAGAGGUGCGUGGAAUUCCCGGUGUAGCGGUGAAUGCGUAGAUAUCGGGAGGAACACCAGUGGCGAAGGCGGUUGCCUGGAGCUUUGCUGACGCUGAGGCGCGAAAGCGUGGGGAGCGAUCCGG
rnacentral:rRNA from 1 species